GCCAGCGUGGCAUAGUGGUUUGAGUGUUGGAUUAUGACUCUGGAGAUCAGGAUUCGAUUGCCAGCUCAGCCA